GUGGUGGUAGCAGGGUAGAGUACCGGGUGGUAGUAGCAGGGUAGUGUACCGGGUGGUAGUAGCAGGUUAGUGUACCGGGUGGUAGUAGCAGGGUAGAGUACCGGGUGGGGUACAGGGUAGUGUACCGGGUGGUGCAGGAUAGUGUACCGGGUGGUGCAGGGUAGUGUACCGGGUGGGAGCAGGGUAGUGUACCGGGUGGUGCAGGGUAGUGUUACCGGGUGGUGCAGGGUAGUGUACCGGGUGGGGUAGGGUAGAGUACCGGGUGGUGUAGGGUCGUGUUCCCGGGUGGUGCAGGGUAGUGUAGGUGGGAGCAGGGUAGAGUACCGGGUGGUGUAGGGUAGUGUACCGGGUGGUGUAGGGUAGUGUUCCCGGUGGUGCAGGGUAGUGUUCCCGGGUGGGAGCAGGGUAGAGUACCGGGUGGUGCAGGGUAGUGUACCGGGUGGUAGCAGGGUAGUGUACCGGUGGUAGCAGGGUAGUGUACCGGGUGGUAGCAGGGUAGAGUACCGGGUGGUGCAGCCUAGAGUACCGGGUCGGAGCCGGCUGUUAACAGUGACUAAAGAUCAGCGUUGGGUACUGGACAGCGGCUGGCUAGUGGUGACUAUUUAACAGUCUGAUGGAGUGUGUGUGUGUGUGUGUGUGUGUGUGUGACAGAGUAACAAAUCAUGAAUGAUAAAAGUAUGAUAUUUGUUCAAAGUUUAUAUUUUCACGUUGAAGGAGUCAAUUUUCAAAGACGGUUCCAAAAAAUGUUUUAAAAAUCUAUGUUUAUGUCGGGAUCAGAUGACAAGCUGCUGGUCUGUCCAGGGGGAGUGUCCGGUUCACUGGAGUCAGGGGGCGUGUCCGGCUGGAGCCAGGGGGCGUGUCCGGCUGGAGCCAGGGGGCGUGUCUGGACGGAGCCGGGGGGCGUGUCCGGCUGGAGCCAGGGGGCGUGUCCUGCUGGAGCCAGGGGUGUGUCCGGCUGGAGCCAGGGGUGGAGUAACAUCUCGUCCAGAGUGGGCCGUCCUCGGGGUCGCUUCGCCAGACACCUCCUCAACAGAUCCACACAGUCUGGAGAACAAAGGAGAGAGAACAAGUCUGUCUGUCUGUCUGUGUAUUCCUCUGUCUGUCUGUCUGCCUGCCUGCCUGCCUG
ensembl:lncRNA